rnacentral:rRNA from 1 species
UACGUAGGGCGCAAGCGUUAUCCGGAAUUAUUGGGCGUAAAGGGCUCGUAGGCGGUCUGUCGCGUCAGGAGUGAAAACUCGGGGCUUAACCCCGAGCCUGCUUCUGAUACGGGCAGACUAGAGGUAUGCAGGGGAGAACGGAAUUCCUGGUGUAGCGGUGAAAUGCGCAGAUAUCAGGAGGAACACCGGUGGCGAAGGCGGUUCUCUGGGCAUUACCUGACGCUGAGGAGCGAAAGUGUGGGGAGCGAACAGG